GGGAUUCUGGGAAAUGUAGUUCUGGCGAGGACCGGCCAUGGCCGAGGGCAGGCGGGGCUGGUUCCGCCAGCUGCGGUCCUGGUUUGGAAGCAAGAUGGGCUUUCAUAAGGCUCCAAGAAGUACCCCUGGGCAGCAGAAGUUGAUCUUGAGAGGAAGUAACUUCUACCUGGCCCCUCUAGCUGAAUUUCACAGCAGGCACUAGGCUGACUCUGUCCUGCCCGCUGAGAGCCAGGCCGGGGACAGGUUUUGCCUCUGGAAGACAGGGAAGACACAGAGACCAUGAAGGAACGGACUCAAAAUCACCCGGCAGGUGGGAGUUGGUGGGUCUGGGGAGGCACCGGGGGUUCAGCCAGAAUGUUUCGGUGAGCACAGCUGUGCCCAGAGGCUCCUUUGUCCCUGCCAGGCCUAGAGGAGGAGCUCUGUGAGCAGCAUGGGCGGCCCAGCCCCUCAGAGUUGCUCCUUUUCACCCAGGUUUGCCUUCUGGCUCUACUGACUGGCUCCAGGGAAAAGAGGGCAAGGCCCAAAUGCUGGUGAGUUGGGUUCCUUUUACUUUUUUUUUUUUUUUUUUGCCUGAAAUGCUGGCUUGUUUCCCAGAGAAUAAGCAUAUAUUCUCUUUCUUGAAAAGGGGAAAGACAGCCGUUCCCGUCUGUGUCAGACAGUCUUAGUCAUUUGUGUGUUUGAUUUUCUUUGUUGAAAAAUAUACCCCGGGAGCACCUGGGUGGCUCAGUGGGUUAAGCCUCUGCCUUCGGCUCAGGCCAUGAUCUCAGGGUCCUGGGAUCAUGCCCCACGUUGGGCUCUCUGCUCAGUGGGGAGCCUGCUUCCCUCCCUCUCUCUGCCUGCCUCUCUGCGAACCUGUGAUCUCUGUCUGUCAAAUAAAUAAAUAAAAUCUUUAAAAAAGAAAGAAAAAUAUACCCAAGAUUAAUAUUAAGAGUAACUUUUUAAAAAAUUAAUUUUAUUUAUU
rnacentral:lncRNA from 1 species